rnacentral:piRNA from 1 species
UNGUGUUGUCCAUACUGCAGUAUUUCACUU